rnacentral:misc_RNA from 1 species
UAUCUUAAUUAUGGAACAUUGAAAGAUUAUUUAUGGUGUAACACAACCACUAAUAAUAAAGGUCUUAAAUGCCUGUCUUUUAAGUAAUUAAGUAUUACAUACAACAGAGUACUAAAAUAAGAAAGUGCGCAGGAGGCACUAAAUAAGUUACCUUAUUUCCCAAAAUCAUCAAGUUCUUCUGUUGUACAUGGAACAUGAGACUCUCCAUGGUGAUUUUCGCCUAUAGUACCCUAGGCCUCAUCGCCAUACUCCUUCCAUUUGGUGUUAGUUGCUAAAUCUUCAGGACCAGGAGGUAAAUCUUCUAUGAAGGAUGAGAAUGACUCUGUUCCAAUAAUUAAAUGAAAAAUGCACUGAUCAUUUCUGGUGGGUCCAACCAUACAAGGGUCUGCAACUUUGCUUUCAAUUGAUUGGAUCUUGGUGCCUGUUUUCAAGGGUCGACAUCUGCUGUGCUUCAUUCUCGUCCUUAAAACACAAAAGGUCUGUUUCAUUCCUUGCGUCAUCAUUAGAAUUUCCAUUAAUGAGCAACUCCAUUUGAUCAUCCUCCCAGUCUUGUUCAUAGUCAGGCAAUUCAGUACAAUUUUGAAAAUUAGUCAGUGAUUUCUCCAUAGUCCUAAAUUUUUCCAUGAUAAUUGUAUUGAUGAUAAAAAAUAGAUGAUUAUCCCAUGAUUUAGAUGUUGUGCUAUCCAUCUUCUUCCUUUGUACAACUUCGGAUACACUAGGUUUUAUGUUGUAUGAACAUUUACAAGGUUGGCUCAGAAUUCGUAUUGCAUACUUGCUCAAUACUGGAAGAAGCGGACGAUUAUAAUCCCACCAUUCACAAGGAUGAGAUGAUGUCAUGAUUGCGCGUGAAAUUUCAUUUGUUAAUUCCUUCAAUGAUCGCUUACGAUAAAGCUGCAACUCCUGUAUAAAUUUUGCCUUUUCUUCUCCACUUGCUACCAAGUUCUCCGACACAAAGUUCAUGCCAUUGUACGUAUCAAUGCCCCAACAUUCAGAAUCCUCCAGAAACAUGUAAGUAGGAUUCAGAAAAGCUGCAGCAGCAUGCAUCGGGUGGAUAAUGUUGCCUUGCCUCUCCGCUAAUAACUCCAAUAUCCUUUGAUACUUUGUUGGAUUGCGGUCACGGUACCCCUCAAUUGCUUCUCUUGCCCUUUUCAAUGCUCCAUACAAGUAGCCUGAAUUUGGUCUAUCAUUUUCUACUAAUCGGAGGACUUGAACUAUUGGCUCCAGAACAUCUAGUACAUCAUGUCCUUGAUUCCAAAAGUUUGCACCUUGAAUAAUAUCAGUAACCUUCCGAGCUGUCUCGUUAUUGUUAGAAUCCAGCAUGUACCACUCGUCAGACAUAAUGAGUUGCUGCAAUUCAUUCUUAUUAUCAAAGAUGGACUGAAGCAUUUGAUACUUGGAGGCAAACUUGGACAUACAAGGAUGUUUCAAUUCCUUGCCCUUUGUGUAUUGUUUCAUCAAUGAUAAAACAAUAGCGUUGCUGUACAUAUGUCUGAAGAUCAAUUCUGCAUGAUCAAUUAUCUGUCUUACCCAGGCAAUUUCAUCGAAUAUGACCUUCAAAAAAGAAUGAAUCUCUUGAGCUGCACAUCGAAUUUGGUAAAUUGUUGGGUACCUAGUCUCAAGCAUUUCUCCAACCGAACUAGAAAUUUUACCAUCGUUGGUGAUGAAUUGGACAACAUGAUCAACCCCAAUUUUUUCAAUUAUGGAAGAAACUAUCUCUGUGAAAUCAAAAUCUAUCUCCUCCAACCUUGAAACUUCAUAUGAAGUUUCAAGGUUGGAGGAGAUAGAUUUUGAUUUCACAGAGAUAGUUUCUUCCAUAAUUGAAAAAAUUGGGGUUGAUCAUGUUGUCCAAUUCAUCACCAACGAUGGUAAAAUUUCUAGUUCGGUUGGAGAAAUGCUUGAGACUAGGUACCCAACAAUUUACCAAAUUCGAUGUGCAGCUCAAGAGAUUCAUUCUUUUUUGAAGGUCAUAUUCGAUGAAAUUGCCUGGGUAAGACAGAUAAUUGAUCAUGCAGAAUUGAUCUUCAGACAUAUGUACAGCAACGCUAUUGUUUUAUCAUUGAUGAAACAAUACACAAAGGGCAAGGAAUUGAAACAUCCUUGUAUGUCCAAGUUUGCCUCCAAGUAUCAAAUGCUUCAGUCCAUCUUUGAUAAUAAGAAUGAAUUGCAGCAACUCAUUAUGUCUGACGAGUGGUACAUGCUGGAUUCUAACAAUAACGAGACAGCUCGGAAGGUUACUGAUAUUAUUCAAGGUGCAAACUUUUGGAAUCAAGGACAUGAUGUACUAGAUGUUCUGGAGCCAAUAGUUCAAGUCCUCCGAUUAGUAGAAAAUGAUAGACCAAAUUCAGGCUACUUGUAUGGAGCAUUGAAAAGGGCAAGAGAAGCAAUUGAGGGGUACCGUGACCGCAAUCCAACAAAGUAUCAAAGGAUAUUGGAGUUAUUAGCGGAGAGGCAAGGCAACAUUAUCCACCCGAUGCAUGCUGCUGCAGCUUUUCUGAAUCCUACUUACAUGUUUCUGGAGGAUUCUGAAUGUUGGGGCAUUGAUACGUACAAUGGCAUGAACUUUGUGUCGGAGAACUUGGUAGCAAGUGGAGAAGAAAAGGCAAAAUUUAUACAGGAGUUGCAGCUUUAUCGUAAGCGAUCAUUGAAGGAAUUAACAAAUGAAAUUUCACGCGCAAUCAUGACAUCAUCUCAUCCUUGUGAAUGGUGGGAUUAUAAUCGUCCGCUUCUUCCAGUAUUGAGCAAGUAUGCAAUACGAAUUCUGAGCCAACCUUGUAAAUGUUCAUACAACAUAAAACCUAGUGUAUCCGAAGUUGUACAAAGGAAGAAGAUGGAUAGCACAACAUCUAAAUCAUGGGAUAAUCAUCUAUUUUUUAUCAUCAAUACAAUUAUCAUGGAAAAAUUUAGGACUAUGGAGAAAUCACUGACUAAUUUUCAAAAUUGUACUGAAUUGCCUGACUAUGAACAAGACUGGGAGGAUGAUCAAAUGGAGUUGCUCAUUAAUGGAAAUUCUAAUGAUGACGCAAGGAAUGAAACAGACCUUUUGUGUUUUAAGGACGAGAAUGAAGCACAGCAGAUGUCGACCCUUGAAAACAGGCACCAAGAUCCAAUCAAUUGAAAGCAAAGUUGCAGACCCUUGUAUGGUUGGACCCACCAGAAAUGAUCAGUGCAUUUUUCAUUUAAUUAUUGGAACAGAGUCAUUCUCAUCCUUCAUAGAAGAUUUACCUCCUGGUCCUGAAGAUUUAGCAACUAACACCAAAUGGAAGGAGUAUGGCGAUGAGGCCUAGGGUACUAUAGGCGAAAAUCACCAUGGAGAGUCUCAUGUUCCAUGUACAACAGAAGAACUUGAUGAUUUUGGGAAAUAAGGUAACUUAUUUAGUGCCUCCUGCGCACUUUCUUAUUUUAGUACUCUGUUGUAUGUAAUACUUAAUUACUUAAAAGACAGGCAUUUAAGACCUUUAUUAUUAGUGGUUGUGUUACACCAUAAAUAAUCUUUCAAUGUUCCAUAAUUAAGAUA